AUUGAACGCUGGCGGCAGGCCUAACACAUGCAAGUCGAACGAGUGGCGGACGGGUGAGUAAUGUCUGGGAAACUGCCUGAUGGAGGGGGAUAACUACUGGAAACGGUAGCUAAUACCGCAUACCAUCAGAUGUGCCCAGAUGGGAUUAGCUUGUUGGGGGGGUAACGGCUCACCAAGGCGACGAUCCCUAGCUGGUCUGAGAGGAUGACCAGCCCCACUGGAACUGAGGCACGGGCCAAACUCCUACGGGAGGCAGCAGUGGGGAAUAUGGCGCAAUGGGGGCAAGCCUGAUGCAGCCAUGCCGCGGGGAUGGAGAAGGCCAUCGGGUUGUAAAGUCCUUUCAGCGGGGAGGCGUUACCCGCAGAAGAAGCACCCGCUAACUCCGGGCCAGCGGCGGGGGUAAUAC
rnacentral:rRNA from 1 species